rnacentral:rRNA from 1 species
AAAUUGAAGAGUUUGAUCAUGGCUCAGAUUGAACGCUGGCGGCAGGCCUAACACAUGCAAGUCGAGCGGUAGCACAGAGAGCUUGCUCUCGGGUGACGAGCGGCGGACGGGUGAGUAAUGUCUGGGAAACUGCCUGAUGGAGGGGGAUAACUACUGGAAACGGUAGCUAAUACCGCAUAACGUCGCAAGACCAAAGUGGGGGACCUUCGGGCCUCAUGCCAUCAGAUGUGCCCAGAUGGGAUUAGCUAGUAGGUGGGGUAACGGCUCACCUAGGCGACGAUCCCUAGCUGGUCUGAGAGGAUGACCAGCCACACUGGAACUGAGACACGGUCCAGACUCCUACGGGAGGCAGCAGUGGGGAAUAUUGCACAAUGGGCGCAAGCCGAUGCAGCCAUGCCGCGUGUGUGAAGAAGGCCUUCGGGUUGUAAAGCACUUUCAGCGGGGAGGAAGGCGUUAAGGUUAAUAACCUUGGCGAUUGACGUUACCCGCAGAAGAAGCACCGGCUAACUCCGUGCCAGCAGCCGCGGUAAUACGGAGGGUGCAAGCGUUAAUCGGAAUUACUGGGCGUAAAGCGCACGCAGGCGGUCUGUCAAGUCGGAUGUGAAAUCCCCGGGCUUCAACCUGGGAACUGCAUUCGAAACUGGCAGGCUAGAGUCUUGUAGAGGGGGGUAGAAUUCCAGGUGUAGCGGUGAAAUGCGUAGAGAUCUGGAGGAAUACCGGUGGCGAAGGCGGCCCCCUGGACAAAGACUGACGCUCAGGUGCGAAAGCGUGGGGAGCAAACAGGAUUAGAUACCCUGGUAGUCCACGCCGUAAACGAUGUCGAUUUGGAGGUUGUGCCCUUGAGGCGUGGCUUCCGGAGCUAACGCGUUAAAUCGACCGCCUGGGGAGUACGGCCGCAAGGUUAAAACUCAAAUGAAUUGACGGGGGCCCGCACAAGCGGUGGAGCAUGUGGUUUAAUUCGAUGCAACGCGAAGAACCUUACCUGGUCUUGACAUCCACAGAACUUUCCAGAGAUGGAUUGGUGCCUUCGGGAACUGUGAGACAGGUGCUGCAUGGCUGUCGUCAGCUCGUGUUGUGAAAUGUUGGGUUAAGUCCCGCAACGAGCGCAACCCUUAUCCUUUGUUGCCAGCGGUCCGGCCGGGAACUCAAAGGAGACUGCCAGUGAUAAACUGGAGGAAGGUGGGGAUGACGUCAAGUCAUCAUGGCCCUUACGACCAGGGCUACACACGUGCUACAAUGGCAUAUACAAAGAGAAGCGACCUCGCGAGAGCAAGCGGACCUCAUAAAGUAUGUCGUAGUCCGGAUUGGAGUCUGCAACUCGACUCCAUGAAGUCGGAAUCGCUAGUAAUCGUAGAUCAGAAUGCUACGGUGAAUACGUUCCCGGGCCUUGUACACACCGCCCGUCACACCAUGGGAGUGGGUUGCAAAAGAAGUAGGUAGCUUAACCUUCGGGAGGGCGCUUACCACUUUGUGAUUCAUGACUGGGGUGAAGUCGUAACAAGGUAACCGUAGGGGAACCUGCGGUUGGAUCACCUCCUUACCUUAAAGAA